GUCGGGGCUCGAGGCCCUCCGAACGUGAGCACGUCGGAGUCCCGCGAGCAAGAGCGUCGCUCCGCCGCCUUCACGGCGGACGCCGCGGUCUUGCGCCCCCGUGUGUCUGGAGUAAAGAACGGCCCAGGUUUACGCUUCCCUCCCACGUGACUCGAGCGAGGCGGGCAAAGUCUGGCUGCAGGGUGAAUUCUUCCCGGAGGGGCAGCGAACGCUCGGCGACGGCCGCCUGAGUGCCUUCCCCGACGCGACAGCACCGGUGACGCUCCUCGACUCUAUCGGCCUCCACCCUAAACGAAGGUCGAAAUUAAAUCUACGACACCUGCCGGUCCCUGGUCUAUUUCAGGGUCGAGCCGGGCUGCAGAGUGGCGGGUGCACGUGGGACGGGCCCCUUGACAACUGACGCUUCUGCAGAAGUGAAGCCGGGGGUGCGGGUGUGAGAAGAGGCCCACCUAGGAAAGCGAGCAAGAGGGGAGGGCUGGCUACCGCCGCCUCCCGCCAGCGCCUCGAAACACGAAACACGGCCUCAAUUUUAUGCAGGAACUGGAUGCCGCCUGAUUGGUUAAGUCGGUGAGCGCACAGGGCAUCGACGGCGGUGGCGAGCUAAAAGGAGGAUUCCUGUGACUUGUGCAGAGGAACAAGAGCCCGAGUGGACCUUUUGGUUCCGGGGCAACCCACAGGCACAUUUUUCUGAAACCGCUUUAUUUGAAGUCGUUCCAGAGCUUUAUCUCCCCUGAAUGUUUGGGCUUGGAGUUAAACUGUUCACUUGAGCAUUGCCUGUUGGGUUUGAUCAGUCCUAAGAGCCUUCUGGGAAGGCCCAGAAAGCCAGAAGGUGAAGCCAGGAGUGUUGCUGUCAAACUCAUGGAAAAGUAUACGAGGGGCGCCUGGGUGGCUCAAGUCAGUCAAGCGUCCGACUUCGGCUCAGGUCAUGAUCUCAGGGUUCGUGAGGUGGAGCCCCGUGCCGGGCCCUCUGCCGUCAGCGUGGACCGUGCUUCAGAUCCUCUGUCUCCCUGUCUCUGCCCCUCCCCUGCUCGCACUUUCUCUCUCAAAAUAAACAAAUAAACUUAAAAAAAAAAAAAAGUAUAUUGAGUUAACGGAGGGCUAUGUAACACUUGCAGAAUAUUAGAGGCUUGGGACCGUGUAAAAUGAUUUCAGUCAACCACUGCUGUACCGUAGGAGACUGGAGCACAGAAGAGCUGAAUGAUGUACCCACUGCAGGUUCCUUGGUCAAGGCUGGAACGACAGCCUGUACGUCUCGAUUCUUCGUCUUGGGCUUUUUCGGCUACAAUCACGCUGCCCCCCUCCUUAGGUCAUAGACUCCUCAACGUUCUUUUAGACUCAAGCCGUGGUAACAAUGGCACUAACAACAAAAGACGUGCGUCAGACUGGUUGAAACAGAGAAUCCGGUGGCUCACGCAACAACCUAGUCCAGAGGAAUCUCUGCCUUCAGGGACAGCUGGCUUUAGGGGUCUUAACAAUGUCAUCAGAACUGGCUCAUCUCCAGCCCUGUUUGGCUUUGUUUCCAGGCUCUACAGAUGAGCUAAAUGGCUGCCAAGUAAAGUCCUGACGUCGCCUGAAGAUCUUGCCCUUCCCCACCCCCCCAACAGGCCUUCCAAAGUUGCAGAUUGCAUGCCAUUGGGUCUGAUGGGAUCGGGCACCAUUUUGGAAAUAGUCCCCGUGGCCAGAAGGUACUCUUCUUACUAAAUAGGCCUGAAUCCCAUGUCUACACAGAGUGUAGAGUCUACACCCUUUGAAAGACUUGUCUGAGGGUGCACAUCAGGACCAGACAAGCGGGAGGCAGAGGGUGCCCAUCUGAACAAGAAUAGCCACUGUGGCCUAAAACGCAACUUUCUCCUUACCUCGUUUUCUUAGUAAAUUCACCUGCGUCCUCCGCUUUCCGCUGUAGCUGUUUGGUGUCUCUGUCCAGGAACCUUCUCCUUUUGCAUAGCUCCUUUAAAGUUUUUAUAAGGUAAUGGGGCGCCUGGGUGGCUUCGUUGGUUAAGCGUCCAAUCUCGGCUCGGGUCAUGAUCUCACAGUUCGUGAGUUCGGGCCACGCAUCGGGCUCUGUGCUGGCAGCUCGCAGCCUGGAGCCGGCUUCGGAUUCUGUGUCUCCCUCUCUCUCUGCCCCUCCCCCACUCAUGCUCUGUGUCUCUCAAAAAUAAAUGUUAAAACAAUUUUAUGAGGUAAAUAGUGAAAAAAAUCAAAAGGAAUUCA